UACGUAGGUGGCAAGCGUUGUCCGGAAUUACUGGGUGUAAAGCGCGUGUAGGCGGCAGACCAAGUCGGCGGUGAAAGCGCCCGGCUCAACUGGGCGAGGUCCGUGGAAACUGGUCAGCUGGAGGACGGUAGAGGCGAGUGGAAUUCCCGGUGUAGUGGUGAAAUGCGUAGAGAUCGGGAGGAACACCUGUGGCGAAGGCGGCUCGCUGGGCCGGUCCUGACGCUGAGGAGCGAAAGUGUGGGGAGCGAACAGG
rnacentral:rRNA from 1 species